CUCAUAUACUCUGUCCCAUUAUCAGUUGUUAGAAUUUUGAUCUGUGCAUUAAACUGGAUGCAAAUCAUUUUAUGAAAUUGCUGAAAACAAGAAAAAACUUCAUGUUUAGAUCUCAUCAAAUAAACCCAAGUCAACCUAACGCAACAGUCAAUAAAAAUGCAAACCAUCUAUAACCAGAUAAAGAGGUUGUUUGAGCAGAACCCAAUGCAUCAGAAUAGAUAGUCAUAAAAG
rnacentral:misc_RNA from 1 species